rnacentral:rRNA from 1 species
UACGAAGGGGGCUAGCGUUGCUCGGAAUCACUGGGCGUAAAGCGCACGUAGGCGGACUCUUAAGUCGGUGGUGAAAUCCUGGAGCUCAACUCCAGAACUGCCUUCGAUACUGAGAGUCUCGAGUCCGGGAGAGGUGAGUGGAACUGCGAGUGUAGAGGUGAAAUUCGUAGAUAUUCGCAAGAACACCAGUGGCGAAGGCGGCUCACUGGCCCGGUACUGACGCUGAGGCGCGGAAAAGCUAGGGGAGCAAACGGGG